AUUGAACGCUGGCGGCAGGCCUAACACAUGCAAGUCGAGCGAGCGGCGGACGGGUGAGUAAUGUCUAGGAAACUGCCUGAUGGAGGAGGAUAACUACUGGAAACGGUAGCUAAUACAGCAUACCAUCAGAUGUGGCAAGAUGGGAUUAGCUAGUAGGUGGGUUAACGGCUCAACUAGGCGACGAUCCCUAGCUGGUCUUAGAGGAUGACCAGCCACACUGGAACUGAGACCCGGUCCAGACUCCUACGGUAGGUCGCAGUGGGGAAGAUUUCACAAUGGGCGCAAGCCUGAUGCAGCCAUGCCGCGUGUGUGAAGAAGGCCUUCGGGUUUUAAAGCACUUUCAGCGGGGAGGCGUUACCCGCAGAAGAAGCACCGGCUAACUCCGUGCCAGCAGCCGCGGUAAUUC
rnacentral:rRNA from 1 species